CCCCUGACAUGCGCGCCUUUUGAUGCACUCUCGACUGAAGAGAUUUGAUGGAAAAGAUAAGGUCAUUGGUCACUGUCUGUCCCUGAGUUUCAACAAACAAGUGUUUUCCCUGCGUUCCAAAGGAUCUCAUAUAAAGCCUACCCUUCUCUAGUCGCCAACCAAUGGCACUGAGAUCACAGCGGAACAGUUAUGACUGACAUGGUCUCCUCUUGUCUUUGAUGAUGAUGAAGGAUGUUUUUGUGAAUGCAUCUGCACAGUUGCAUCAGAAGUACUGAAAAUACAUUUAGCCUUACACGGUAAAUACAAUGUUUCACUAAAAGGCUAAAAAUGUUUGUCUUUGCUCGUUUGGAAGUUUAAAUAUGUUCCACAAUGAAUCGAGAAACUUAAAGAAAGAUCAGAUUGGAUGCUUAGACAUUAAGUCAAAUUCAAUUAUUUUGUGUAUUCAUUCUUUUUUAACACAGAUGGCCAGAAGCCGUUAAAUAAUUCCCACAAAACAUUAUACAUUAAGGACUGAAGUGGUCAUUUGCAUUGUAUUAUUAUAUAUUAUGUCUCUUUUACAGUCAAGGGUGAGGAGUGGUGUUGGGUAAAACUGGGUAGCAUUAUGUUUUAAAACUGCUAUUACAGUAUGUGUGUAAUGUCAAACAAGUAAGUAAAUCUAAUCCCAUGUGCUGAGAAAUAGACAAAAGUUGUAUCUGCUGCUGUACAUUAUUUAUUUUUGAAUAA